GUGAAUCAAAGGGGGGGGGGCAGGGCAGAGCUAGGAAGGCAAAAUGAUUGUUACCAGGCAGAGUUAGGAGUGAUGUCAGCUUUGGGAAAAGUACCUGCGAAAGGAGAGAGACUUCCUGAAUAGAUGCCACUGAAGAAGACUUGUCUCAAGUCGAAACACGUCUGGCAAAUUAGUUGCUGAUCUGCAUCCUGAAAAUAUAUCCAAAGUUCUGCCUUCAUUUGUUUCAUUUCCUCCCAGCCCUGAGCAAGAUGCUUUGACAACAAUUUCAAUAACACAGGUUUGUUCAGACUACAGUUUAUAAAUGGCCUGGAUUUGCAUUAUUUGACUCUCGUAAAAAAUCUGAAUGUAGGAAUUGGCUUUCCAUUUACAGCUGGUAGAGGCCAUUGCUGCACAGUUUUUGUGGAACUGUUAUUUAUCAUUGAUAAAGAUUCUACAUACUAUAAGGAAAAUUCCUACUAGAAAACUUUAAUAUGGAAACAUUUUUCAAAACAUUUUUAAAGAAUUGACUUCAAACACUUUAUAUAUGCAUGUGCAGAAAUGAAUGUAUUUCUAUUAUAUAGCUGUUCUGUCAUGGGACAGAAUUUUAACAAUAAAAUUGAAAAGUGAAUGUGUUAGUAAGGACUCUUGCUCCUUAUGCACAACUGCAGUUUCAUUGCA